rnacentral:lncRNA from 1 species
UGAGUUAUCUAACAGUUAAAGUAUUAUUUUGUUCUCAGUACUUUUGAUAUUAUUGUAUGAAACAUAAAUGUGUUUGGAAAGUGCCCUUGGCAAGCAUUUUCUUUAUGACUGCUUCAUGUUCAAGGUAGUAUCUAAUUGAAAGACAAAAAUAUGUUCUUUUCUGUUAAAUUAGUAAUGUUGAUAUCAUGGCAUUUUAUCCCAAAUAGGCUAACUCCAGGAUAUAAUUUAUCUGAUUUUAUUUUCUCCUUUCAUUCACUUUUAGAUUUCCACUUAGAGUUUACCAGUCGUAACUUCACUUUCCAUUUACCAAUAGGAUUUCUUUUUUUAAUAACUAGUGGAAAUAAUUAUUGUUAUUUUAAAGUGGUAAAUUGCCUUUAGGAGCUAAGUAUCUGUUAAAAGAGUUUACUCAAUAAAACACUGAGGACAGCUUUCCUGAAAAAGUCCUAUAAAUCUGUCUCAUUACUUCAUUGUUCAGAUAUCCCCACCAUAACCAAUGGCAUUGAUGAGACAAUCA